UCUUAAAAAAAAAACUCUCUCUCUUCCUCCUUUGUGGUUUAAUGACGAUCUUUUCUCACUUUGGCUAGAAAACCUUAGGACUGCUUGGGGGUGAAAGUAGAUCACGAGCAUAGGAUGUAACGGGGGUUUGAUUAAGGCACGAGAGGCAGUCGACAGAGGCGAGGUGGAGUUCUGUUUGCUUCCUUCUCUAGAGCUGGGGGUUCUCUUGAACUGUUUGAUCAGUUGCUUGCUGGUGCUCCAUUUUGGGUUUGUAGAUGACAUGCAGAUAGAAUUUUGCAUGAUGAUGUGAUUUUUUAAGUUUAAUUGGGUUAAUCUAAAAAUGUGUAAUUUCUGUUGAGAUUGUGGUAGCUAUCAAAAAUGGGUGCUAUGAGUUCCAAAAUUGAAUGGAUUAUCAUAAGGAGAGUUGUCUAAUUUCCUUUGAAUUUUGCAUAAUGGUAUGAUUUUUUAGUUUUGAAUUGGGUUAUUCUAGAAGUAUGUAAUUGCUGUUGGAAUUGUAGUAGUAUCUAAAAUGGUUGCUAUGAGUUUCUAGAUUCGAUUGGAUUAUUUAGGAAGAGUUGUCUAAUUUCUUGUGAAGGUAUGGUAGUGUUUCUUUAGUUAUGUGAUGAAAUUUUCUGUAGAAAACUUGUUACGGAUAUUUAUACAAUCCCUGUCGGUGUCUUGCUUUGUCACCUGGUUCUACCCUUGCUCUCUACAUUAGCCUCGUCUCAGUUCCCUGAUCUGCUCUUCUGGUCAUGCACGGUUUAAUAGAUUUAAUGUUUUGGAUUACAUGUGAUUAUGUAGGUUUAACAUUUCUAAUCUUUAGAUUGUCGUAGAUUUUGUUAACUAUAUGUAGGAAGUUUACAAACCUCUUCUUGUUUCUCUAGUUUUUCUUUAAAGGCUUAUUGAGUUUAGUGUUCAUUUUCUAGGAUCUUUGUCACCUUUGGACAUAUCCUUUUUGGGUGACUGUUUUUCAGUUCUUUGUUUUCCAACCCCUUGUCCACGGUAAGUUUCUUGUUUAAAAAAAAAUAAAAAAUAAAAAAAUGGUUUAUCCGUAACCUCCUUAGCGCCUCUGUUUUACGCCCCGAAUGCGUUGAAAUGAUAACCCUCGGUCCAAAAACCAUGCUCCUCUGAUCUGAUUAACCCCCAAGUAAGUCCUCUCAAACUACUUUGUUCUUAACAAAUCAGUCUCAUUUUUUAUUUUCUUUUUUACAGUUUUCUCUAUAUUGUUUAGUUUGAUCUUAGCUUAAGCAUUGCUCAAGUUCACAUCAAUUGUCGAAGUCCACAUUCCUUCCAUGGGGCCUAAUCAAGAAGCUAGAUCUUUAUUAUUUUUUCUGUUUCAGUUUGGUUCAUGUUGCUAUCUGUAUUGUAAUAGUUGUGUAAUAGUGUGUAAUAGUUGAAAACUGUUUGUGGACUUCAAUAUCCGUUGUCAAGCAGCAUUGACCUUGCAGUUACUCCA